AUGGAUGAACCCGAUCUGGAGGAAGGAAGCGAGGAGGACUGGGAUCGCCAUGUCCCAGACCCAACCCUAGAAGAGGCUUUCGAGGGCAUGAAUUUACAUGGUGAGGAGGAAGAAGAUUUGGAUUUAUCAGGGGAGGUGGAUGAUCUGAUUAGGGAGGUGCGUUGGUUGGCGCUAUUUAGGGUUCAUACUCUGAGGCCUUUUAGCCAUGCCGCUCUACUGAACUCCAUGAGAAACGCUUGGGCUUGUGCGCAAGGGGUGACCUUCAACAUCAAUGGGCCGAAUCUAUUCCUAGCACAAUUCCACUGCCUUGGCGACUGGAAGCGGGUGAUGGAAGGAGGCCCGUGGCAAUUUCGAAGAGAUCCAGUGGUUAUGGCGGAGUAUGAUGGGUUUACAAAUGUAGCUGAAUAUGCACUGGAUAUGUAUCCUUUGUGG
rnacentral:rRNA from 1 species